rnacentral:rRNA from 1 species
AUACGAAAGGUGCAAGCGUUGUUCGGAUUUACUGGGCGUAAAGAGAGUGUAGGUGGUUUAUUAAGUCGGAUGUGAAAUCCCGGGGCUCAACCUCGGAACUGCAUUCGAUACUGAUAGGCUAGAGUUUGGGAGGGGUAAGCGGAAUUCCGUGUGUAGCAGUGAAAUGCGUAGAUAUACGGAGGAACACCUGAGGCGAAGGCGGCUUACUGGACCAAUGCUGACACUGAGACUCGAAAGCGUGGGUAGCAAACAGGAUUAGAUACCCGGGUAGUCC